ensembl:miRNA
UGUGAUCUAUGGCAUAUUUAUUAGGUUGGUACAAAAGUAAUCUCAGUUUUUGCUAUUACGUUUAAAGUCAAAAACGGUGACUACUUUUGCACCAACCUGAUAGAAGAAU